rnacentral:rRNA from 1 species
GAUGAACGCUGGCGGCGUGCCUAAUACAUGCAAGUCGAGCGAACGGACGAGAAGCUUGCUUUUCUGAUGUUAGCGGCGGACGGGUGAGUAACACGUGGAUAACCUACCUAUAAGACUGGGAUAACUUCGGGAAACCGGAGCUAAUACCGGAUAAUAUUUUGAACCGCAUGGUUCAAAAGUGAAAGACGGUCUUGCUGUCACUUAUAGAUGGAUCCGCGCUGCAUUAGCUAGUUGGUAAGGUAACGGCUUACCAAGGCAACGAUGCAUAGCCGACCUGAGAGAGUGGGCAGGCACAAGGGAACUAAGACACGGUCCAGACGCAAGCGGGAGGCAGCAGCAGGGCAUGUUCAGAAAUAGUCGAAAGCCUGACAGAGCAAGGACGCGAGAAUGAAGAAGUUAUUAGGAACGUAAAAAUCUGUUAAUAGGGGAGAACAUAGGUGUAAGUAACUGUUCACAUCUUGACGGUACGUAAUCAGAAAGCCAAGGCUAGCUAAGUG